AUUUCAUAACUCAAAAAGCAAUAAGCAAUGAGCAUUGGGCUGUGUCAAUAGUUCGCUUGGACAUAAUAUUGCAUUUAGAGACUGUGUUCGUUAGUUUUCGAUUGUGUCACACGCUAAUUCACUUGAAGUGAUGGAAAACAUUUGGAUUUUGUAACUGAUUCGUGUCUAAAAAGGAAAAAAUGCCCUCACUUGUGCUAAAGGCUACAUGCAGCAUUCUGCACCGGCACCCAGUAUUCACGAUGCAUUCGUCAAGAUCGACUUUUAACAACAAUGUGCUAAACGAUGUUCUACGAUGAUGGCGCGGUUACUUGGUGAGAUCUGACCAGAGGUCGGUGUUUUUAGUGUUUUAGAUAUGCAGUACAAAUGCACGUUUUUAUACUUUUUGGUCCAUCUAUUGGUUGUCCGUCAUUUAUUUUGUUUUUGUAUUUAUUUGAGAUGGAAUAACAACAAAAAAUAAAAAAGGUUUUCAUUUUCACCUUGUGCAAGUACAAAUAGAAAAUGCUGCACAGACAGCAACUAUAUUGA